UACGAGGGGGCGAGCGUUGUUCGGAAUUAUUGGGCGUAAAGGGUGCGUAGGCGGGUUUUUAAGUCAGAGGUGAAAUCCUGGAGCUCAACUCCAGAACUGCCUUUGAUACUGAAAGUCUUGAGUAUGGGAGAGGUGAGUGGAACUGCGAGUGUAGAGGUGAAAUUCGUAGAUAUUCGCAAGAACACCAGUGGCGAAGGCGGCUCACUGGCCCAUUACUGACGCUGAGGCACGAAAGCGUGGGGAGCAAA
rnacentral:rRNA from 1 species